AGUGGCUGGCUUCCAGGUUCAAGGUAUGACAAUUCUGAGCUUUCCUUCUCAAAUAGAAUCUUCGAUCCUAGAGCUAUAAUUUUUGCUUGAAACAGGUUAACGUCUUUCUAAACUUUGUUCAAUGACAUGCCAAUUUACAUAAUCAUAUGAUUUGAUGACUAUAGAAUAUCUCUUUAUGGCUUUCCUAGUACUUUCUGCAUCAUACUUUAGCUAAAUACACAUCAGUAAUAACAAGUGCUAAUAUUAUGUUAUCAGAAGAGUGAUAUUUAUUCAUAAUGCAUGUAUGAGGGACCAGUUCAUCCACAUGUUAGACGAGAACAUCCAUAGAGGCCAGGUUAUAUCUAGAUAACAUUACCAUGUCUGAUAGUUAAGACUUUGUCAUUAUGCAGGGGCUUAAGGAACAAAAUAGAA
rnacentral:misc_RNA from 1 species